rnacentral:rRNA from 1 species
CCCUUAGAUGUUCUGGGCUGCACGCGCGCUACACUGAUGCGAUCAACGAGUUUCUUCCUUUGUCGGUAGACAUGGGUAACCUUUUGAACUCGCAUCGUGAUGGGGAUAGAUUAUUGUAAUUAUUAAUCUUCAACGAGGAAUUCCUAGUAGGUGCAAAUCAUCAGUUUGCAUCGAUUACGUCCCUGCCCUUUGUACACACCGCCCGUCGCUGCUACCGAUUGGUUGAUCUGGUGAAUUAUUCGGACUGCCGGAUGAAGGGGUUUCCUCAUCUUCCAGCGGAAAGUCUUGUUAACCCUAUCAACUAGAGGAAGCAGAANUCGUAACA